CCUAUCCACCUAACAUGGUAGUGGAAGUAGCAAUGUAAGCAACAUAACAAAUGGACCAGCCAUAAAGGUAAUUCCAGCCAUUUGUCCCAGCAGUGAACGUACCUUAAAAGCAUCAGAGAGUAAUAACCGUUGUGCCGGUAAGUUUACGUCAUGAUGUUUAUUUACGUUCGAAAUCAUUAUUAAUUUCAUUACCAGAGCACAUCCAUCUUUAGGAAGAGUUGAGUUCGUCGAACUUCACUAAUAGCAAAUGUUAAAUAUAGAAAUGAGACUAAAGUAGGAACACGAUAGUCUAUCAUUUCGUCAAAUAUAUGCCAUCGUCCAUGUUAAAUUUAUGCCUAGUUCAUCAACCGCGAAGGAACGACUCCGAAGAGUCACUAGAGAAUUUUAACAUAUCUCGUGGCUGGAUAUACAUAUAUAUAAAUCCAGAUAUCUAUCUGUAUGCAAAUAAAAUAUUUACCGCAUCGCCAAACAACUGUAUAUCUACGUGACGUUCUCGCAAAUAUUUUUCAAAUUUUUUUACUAUCUUUGGUCAGAUAUUAUGGUAUGGUAUGGUUAGGCCAGGUAAGGUUUUAUUUCCUUGGGUUACAAAGUCAUUAAAUUCUCUCGACGGGCGCAUUGAAUCUGCUUAUUUAAGAGCAAACCACUCGGUGGCGCUACUUCAAAAUAAUCUGCGAAUUAAACCUUGAGCAUUGCAAGCAGCGUGCGUAAGCACACGUGCUAUUCUUUCGCGUACAUUACCCAUCAGCCAUGCACUUCGUUUCCGUUUGCGAGAGCGCGUCUUUCGAAAUGCCGAGGUGCAUGCCGGGAUGUCGAAGGAUAAACAGUAUAGGAAUUUAGAUUGGUUCUCCUCGCUUCGCUGUGAAUGGAAUUCGUUAAGCGGAUCAAAUGUUUGCGGCAGGGAUACGAAAAUCGUAUAUUUCCGUAUAAAUUAGAGAGAAAAAAAAAAAAAGAAAAAAAAUUCAAAGCAUCCAUUUCACUUAGCAGCUAAGCUACGUGGAAAUUGUAGGUUACGUAUCACCGGUAUGUAAACACCAUAUAAGGUGAAAUCGGUAAACCACCUGUUUUUGUAGGUUACGUGGUUACGUCCAAUAAAGAUAUACACAGGUCUAUACACAUGCAUAUUCCGAGACACUGAACGAACUUCGCGUACCUGUAACAAAGAUUACUCCGUACAAAAGAAACGUAAGCAGAAGAGUGUUUCGGUUCAAACGAAAAACCCAUAUCCGCUACGUGAAUGCCGGAGGUUGAAAUAUUUAUCUUCUAUUUGCCGAAUCUCGGAAUCUCUCGGAAGCCGUUACGUAACGGGUGGCCUUUAAAACGUGCUACAGUUACAUCGCGAAAAGCGAGCACGUAGUCAGGACGGAAGACAGGGAGUUAGGGGAGUUCUGAAAUAAAAUUUUAGCAACAGAGGAGCACACGAAGCUUACGAAUUAAUUCAACGUAUCCGGAAACGUCUUGGUACACGGAAUAUCGCACGAGUCACGGAGGAUCUACGCGAAUUUUACGACGCGCUGCUCCCCCGACUUGCGGAAUGUCAAAUAGUCUCGCUGAGCGAAAUAAGUCGCGGCGCAGCUCGUUAACGAUGAAAACAAAAACUUGGCAAAUCCCACGCCCCGUAGCCUUCGCGUACCGCUAUGGAAUUCGUCUUCGAUCACGAUUGCUUGCAAAAGGGAUAGUCGCGAGGUAAACGUUUCUACCGUGGACAAGGUAUAUACUGACAGCUGGCAAUCAGCUAUUAAAAUUCGAACGAGUAUUUCACAGAUAUGCGUAUCGCAGGUAAUAAUAAUAAUAUUACGUAAGUACGUCCCGGAAACGGUUUUCUUGACAGAUUUUCAUAUUUGUCUCAUUACCAUUGUUAUGAUGCUCGGGAUUAAUAAUUCCAUAGCUCAGACUAGUAUUAACCAGUCACAUAGCAGACGGAUCCUGCAUUUGAUUAAUCUUCUCUGUAUAUAAUUAAUCUUUAAUUAAUUCACGCCAGUCGGCUAGUUCGAUUCUGCCGGCAUAGCGGAACUUGGUCUUAGGGAAAAAAGCUACGGGCAGCAAUGCGGGGACGCGUGUCACGAAGAAAGGCUGCGUCGUUUUGAAAAGUCGAGGAAAACAGGAGGGAAAAACAUCAGUGGCCGAGACCACGUGAUAUUUCGACGCUCGGGGCUCGCAUCGAUCGUGGUAACUGGAGCACGUUACAUUAUUCUGCAAUAUGUAUACGUCAUCGUGACGUAUGUGCAGUCGUAGUGGGAUAUAGGAGAAUUACGAAAAAUCUUGAAUUUUCAAACUAGACUCCCGUUAUGUGCGUGCUCGGUAAGUGGUCGCUUCCCCUCCGAUCGCUCGCUUAUCUCGUAUCGCCAAGCCAUAGGGAUUUUCCCCACUGUCACCUAUUCGGCAUAUCGUUGCACAAUAAUUGUGGAAGGACUGCAUGUGUGGAAACAAGUAAGGACAAUGAAUUCCUCAUGUACGGAUAAAAUCGCCUCAAAUUGCAAAUCAAUGUUGAGCGUUAGGACGCAAAAAGAUUAUUGACGAUACUUACUAUAACGUUAAUCGAACGUAACGUGAGGCCUCUAGAACCGAUAUGACGAUCGGCGUGUGCAUUCGAUUAUCGCGCCUGCUGACAGCUCAUUGUUUUAAUGCGCAUCAGCCAUGACUGCAAGUACCGUAAACAAAGUGUUGAUAUGGACUUCCGAGUGCCAAAAGGCAAUUUUCAUAUAAAUACGUAUGAUAAUAUUUGUCGUUAAGUUACGCAACUACGAUAACGUGUCGAAGAUGGUAAUCGUGUAAUUAUAAAUUUUUAAGUAAACAGAGCAACGGUAUUAUUCAUUAAAACGAGGAUUUUUUACGAAUUUCACGGUAGAAAGAUUUCCUAUGAAACUGCAAUCGAGUUCUCACUGACCUGUCGCGAGCGACAAAGUAUUAAUCGAUUGUCGAUCGCUCGUGUACGUUUAUGAGUAAGUUCCCAUAUUUUUCCGAAAAUUUUAAAACAGAGUUUUAUGCUUUCAAAAAAUAAGGUAUGCGUUAAUCGUCAUGCGCGUGGACUACGGAGACGAAAAUAAGUAAAUUAGUAAGAGGGUCUUGUUAUUUUCUGCCAAUUGCACGAACUCAUUAUAAGCCGUUUAAUGCUUCAAUUUCAGAUUCAUCCACGAAUUUCUGUUAGAAAGUAAUUUUUUAAGUUCAAAGACCUCGUUCGGAUCGAAGACAGCAGAUAGUAGGCUCGAUACGUUCCCCUUGGACUUAUUUAUGACGUCUUCGGUUGGAUACUCCUUAGUGGUUGCUUUUUGUUUCAAUAAAGUCCAAAUAGCCCACUAAUUCAUCCGCUGGUUAUCUACCCCACCAUACUUACGUACACGUGUCUAAUGUUACAUUCAAAUUCACAAAGAAGAAAGUCACACCAGUGAUCUAAUAGUCGUGAAAAUAGUGCUAAUACGUACGACGCGUGUCCCCGUCGACUUAAGUACACAGAGGAUGGCCCCGAAGGAAAAAAAAAGUCAUCUGUGAUUUUACGCAAACAGUCUACUGGGAUAGCAGGAUAUUAGCCCGUUACGUCGAUCUACGUGACGUCUCUAUACGACCCGGACGAAUACCGGAGAGAAUCAGUAUUUCUGUAUUUUUCAUGUAAGACUGUAUAGUAACGUAUAAACAAUGACGCGACCGAUUGUCCAAAAGUUCCACUGUUUAUCCUCAGCCUUGUAUAACUAUGCAUAUCAUUUUUCAUUUCAAUAAAUUGUACAUAGAAUAAAGAGGCAUUGCCAUGUAUUGUGCGUUGGCAUUGGUCGAUCUCUCGUAAUCGAUUAGAUAAUAGCGAAUUAUUUAGAUGCGAAACGGAACGCAGUACACGUACGCUCGUAUGCCGAAGGUGAUUUACGCAAUAUGGCUACGGCCAUUCUCGGAUAACUCAUUAUCCUUCACGAGUUAAUGCACUGUUGUGAUACGUCACUUUAUGCAAUCGCAACUUCCCCGCCUCUCGUCAGCUUCUACUCAGCCCCGUGAAGUUGGCCACGAUCGACGCUCCGAGUGAUGCUCGCGCGGGAUUCUGGGAACGAGCGGAAAGACAUUAGACUAAUACUUGGAUUUUGCUACGUCCGGAAUACACAUCUCGGGAAGUCGGCGAAACGUUCUUGGAUCAGAUCCAAAACGUGAUUGUAAGAAGCGAAAGCACUAUGGUAGUCGAACAAAAAAAUGUGUUUCCACAAACAACAAUAUGAUUCACUUGUUCAGAGAAAAUUCUUCGAGUCACGUAACUUUACCGUGCUUGUGUUUACCGUUGCAAGAUAUACCCUUAGGCAGCAGCCCCUUAUUGCCUGAACGACUGCAGUGGGAGAAGAGGAAAUGACAAAAAGGUAGUUUUAAUUUACACGCACGGUAUACGCGAAGAUGACCUGAAGUUACUUUUAGAACGUCACACUCGAUGCAAUGACCAGGCAUCCUGAUACCGACACGAGCACUUGCGAUAUGGAUUUUAUCAUACCGCAGUAGUCGCAUCGCGAAAGAUCCAAGAAACGUACACUGCCACGUACGACAAAAGUACGCCCGACUUGGUGAUUCUAUACAAGAACCGUAACCCGUGAUGGCACGAAGCACGAGGACUGGCGACGGCGAACGUCACCGUCGUAGACGUCAAUGAAAUUGCACAAGCGUAACAAGAUUUUGCGUAAGAGUCUCACGUACCCUAAUAUAUUCGCAACGUCGAGCCUCCUUUUUUUCACGAGCACCACCUUGCAGUUGCACAAGGUAAGUGUUACUCGUGUUAUAAAAUCACAAUCGAUUAGCAUUCAUUGAGGCUCGACGUCUUCGUUGAGAAACAUGACGGUAUAGAAUUUAUAAGGAUACGAGAGUACAAGUAAUAUAUAAAUGGGGAUAAUGAACAAUUCAUUGAUGGUAAAUUAGGGCGAAGAAAAUUGAACAUUGUAUAACGUAUUAUCGCAAUUAUGUUCAUUAACGAUUAAAUUUGAACAAUUAACUAAUUGAUUAUAUUUCAUGGACUCUACGCGAAUCCCUUUGAUUUUGCAAGAAAAAAAAUUAUUCUUCAUUUCCAGCCCUUUCGACGGACUUCGUUAUUGACUGACGUACGAGUGUACACGCUGGCAAGAAAAACUUCAGCUGUCAUUAGAUGUAUGACGACCGGGAGAGAAAAUACGUUGAAAUACGUGACGAAUAAGGUGGAAGAUUUUACAGGAUCGAUUUUGAGUUACAUGAAUUCUGUAUACGUAUAGCUAUGUACGUACGUAUACGACGAGGAUAUAUGGAUAUUCUAUAAUAUGUAUAUAUUCAUAGGAUAUAUACGUAUGAAAUAAAUUUAUAAGGUUCUGACAGGCUCCUGGCAACUGUUUUCAGAUGUUAAAGUAAAAGACGAGAAAAGAUGGAGUAAGUGAAAUCUUUGUAUGAAUUUGACAAGUGAUUGGGAAAUCGAUUACGUAGAGAUUUGGUAGGGUGAGUUCUUAUGAGAGAACCGAGAGCCAUACAUUUUAGUACAAACUGGAAUCAUAGAUGGCGCUGGCUAGCAAGUCUCGCGCGUGCACAAUAUCUCAGGAUGAAAACCGCAUUAAUUGCCGCUUUGGUCAACGUUCGUCCCGACAGGACGUUCCAUUUGCGGUUCGAAUAAUGCAGAUGCAAUUCGAUGGCGGCGACCAAUUUCUAGACAGGUACUUGGGCAUAAACGAGUUAAUCGAAUGUGAAGCAAUUUAACGGGAGUCCGAUUUAACGAUUUCACGAUAAUUAAUUACCUCUCGGGAAAGUAGGUACCGAGUAAAUGGGAUAGGGAAGGUAUAUACUACUGACGUCGUUACGGGAACUACGUAGAAGCGAGAAACUUCUGACCUUUCGCCACCUCGUUCGCCAUGGAGGUAAACACGGUCGCUCGUGCGAAUUAAUUUCCUCCAACUUUUACCCUCCAUGGAAAAUUAGUUUAUCAUAUCCAAUCCAGACUUCGUGACAAAGUAGUUUCCUAUUUCGUAAAAGUAUAAGAGCCACGAGUGCCAUAAUUUGACGAACAAUUAAUUAUUCUGACAAAUAUUAAUAUUCGCCCGAAAAAAUCGUUCGAUCCUAUGGUCCUACUUGAAAAUUUUUUAUUUCAUAUUUUUUUGGAUUAAUCAAUUUUUUUUUAAGAAUUUCACUCCAACUGAUUUGUAGGAAUCUUUGAAAAAUCUAAACAGUUUUACAUCUGCUGCCGUAUUCGUAGAUUAGCAUAUUCAUGUUGACCUUUGCUCUUGUACGAAACGAAGAUUCCAAUGAUCCUCCUCGUUCUCACAGAAUGACAAGCUCUCGGUUGUCUCUUACGGAAUUUUAAUAAUUUUCGCAAAUGAUGUAAAAAUGAUUAAGAAACUUUCGUGAACCGCUUCGUCCGAAGCUUUCGCGGAAAACGUAAAAUCUCGCUCGCAUUGAUACGAAAAAGAUUUCAAACUGGAUUUUCCAGUCGAAAUUCAAAGAAAUCGAUGGCCAAUUACGACUGCGAGCUCGAUUCGACAAAGAGAAAAAAAGUCCGAGGGGUGAGUACGAGUACGAGUACAGCUAAUAAAGAUUGUUAAACUCCGUAGAGAAAAAAAUUAAAACCCAAUUUCAGUAACGCCUACAGCCAAAUACGAUAUUUCGUAAAGCCCUAGAAAAUAAAAGGCAUUGAAAUUUUUCUUUUAGCUACGACCCCGCCUGAUCGUACCAAAUUGAAAAUCAAUGUCACGUUAACUUCCGGUAGCUGCGCGUGAGCCGUCGUUCACCGGAAAUAACGACUACGUUAAAUAACUACAGUAAGCCGAUACUGUACUACGAAAUCAUUACGUAGAAUCUCAAAAUGACGAAUUCAAAAGACUACGUCAAAAUUCAGCUGUCACCCUGUAUAUUUUACGUCAAAAGUACUCUGGUAUGAUCACUGGAUGCUGGGAUCUGAUGUACCGUAAAUAAAUGAACAACGCCAGGAAUUCUUAACAACAGAAGAUUGACUACGUCAAUAUUCGUGAGACUAAAUAAAAUGACGUAUGCAAAAAGUCAAUACACCCUCAUGCCAAUUGUCGUUAAUGUAAUUUGUCUGAAUAAAGAGCUCGCAGAAUCCCAUUCGAUUUCUCGAAAUAUAUAUAAUCCUAUUAGUCUGAUGAAAUUUCUAUAAUUAACCCGAGUAACGAAUUUCACCCUAACGUUGUAACUAAUUUGAUCGUAUACGUUGAGCAAGGGGGAAUAGACUCUUCUCAUUGGAUGGGUGAAAGAAUUUCGUGAAUUCAAGUGACACUCUCAAAGUGAGCUACGCAAAGUCUACGUUUUCACUGUAGGGCAUAUUCGAGCGGAUAGGCGAACGUCGUAGGUUCUUCGACGAGGACAUUAAUGUUGAGAAGUAAGUA